rnacentral:rRNA from 1 species
GAUGAACGCUGGCGGCGUGCCUAAUACAUGCAAGUCGAGCGAACAGAUGAGGAGCUUGCUCCUCUGACGUUAGCGGCGGACGGGUGAGUAACACGUGGAUAAAAUAACUAUAAGACUGGGAUAACUUCGGGAAACAGGAGCUAAUACCGGAUAAUAUAUUGAACCGCAUGGUUCAAUAGUGAAAGACGGUUGUGCUGUCACUAAUAGAUGGAUCAGCGCCGCAUUAGCUAGUGGGUAAGGUAACGGCUUAGCAAGGCAACGAUGCGUAGCCGACCUGAGAGGGUGAUUCGCCACCCUGUAUCUGAGACUCGGCCCCCACUCCUACGGUAGGCAGCAGUCGGGAAUCUUCCGCAAUGCGCGAAAGCCUGACGUAGCAACGCCGCGUGAGUGAUGAAGCUCUUCGGCUCGGAGAACUCUGUUAUUAGGGAAGAACAAAUGUUUAAGUACCUAUGCACGUCUUGACGGUACCUAAUCAGAAAGCCACGGCUAACUACGUG